AUUAGACCGCGGAGUGUACAGACAGGAAGCUGAAGUAUUGAGCGCCUGACCAGAGCUUCCUCCUGUGCAAGAGUGGGGGUUUCUCCAACUUGAAUCUUUAGCUCUACGUGCACGGUCCGAGUCUUGAAGUCCAAAGGAUAGAAAGCACCCAAAUCUCUCAGCUGGGUCCUCCGAGCAUGGAGAACGGAUUGCUGCACUUAAGCCCGGCUUGCAAGAUCGUGUCUGACAUGUACGGCCGGACCAGUCAUUUCUGGCGCUCGGUUCCACUACGUGUAUCAGGAAUUGGUUCGGGUGAGCAGUCCAUAGUGCCACGCGCUGGAAGACAGCACGUGCCUCGUGCCCAGCAUCUGCAACGUGUGCCUGGUUGGAUACCUGAGCGGAGGGAGAAAGCACUGCUGGAUUUGGGACCGGCUCCAUACGUGAAGAGCUCUUUUUUUUUUUUGUUCGGUGGAGGAGGACUACGAAAGUCAACGUGUUCUGCCUGGGCUGAAGGCAUCGUGGGCUUGAUGCAUUUGAAGGGUUCAGGAGGAGGAAUCCCUGCGGGCAGUUCCUUGUCUGACAUUGCUGACAGUCUUCAUGGAUGUGCACCUGGAGGAAAGCCAGGCACCCGGAGAGAGAGCAGAGGAUGA
rnacentral:lncRNA from 1 species